rnacentral:siRNA from 1 species
AAACCAUUCUCAAUUCUCGUCAAC